CCCACAAUCCCCAAAAGAAAACCCAUAGUUUGGAUAAAAAAACUCUUGUUUCAAUUGGAAGAAUGAAGAAAACUGCUCACUGACGGCGCCGUCUCUUGCGAUUGCCCAUCUUGGAGUAAACUUCUUUGAAUAAGAAUACUGCCUAUCUCCUCCGUUAACAUCGACUGCUCGUAUAAGAAUUUCCUUCUUAUUGAAAGUGAAGGUGAAGAAGGCAGAAGUUGCUCGACAUUCCCUGAAAGCACAAGUUGCUUGAAUUUCUUUGAAGUCGAUGCUCAGCAAUUCCAGGAGGUAGUUGUUGUUGUUCGUGCAGACAUUGGUUCACCAUUUUUACUUCGUGAUUGUUGUUUGUGAGGAUAAAUACCAUUUCAGUAACAUACAAGUUAAAGUGCAAGAGGAACCCACUUCGUUUUGCGAGGGAUUUUUUUAAAGAUGUUGCUGUUUGUAUAUGCUAUAGUUCUAUUUUCUCUCUUUUAGGAGUUGAAAAAAAUAAUGUCAUACAAUUUGGUUUGGUAUAUUUUUGGUAAUGUGAUACUCUAAUCCUUUGUAAUCAGCAAUGAUGUUUAUAUGAGUACUCACUUUUUUGUA